CAAUAGCGUAUAUUAAAGUUGUUGCGGUUAAAAAGCUCGUAGUUGGAUUUCUGCUGAGAACGACCGGUCCGCCCUCUGGGUGUGUAUCUGGCUCUUUCUUGGCAUCUUCUUGGUGAACGUUGCUGCACUUGACUGUGUGGAGCGCUACCCAGGACUUUUACUUUGAGGAAAUUAGAGUGUUUCAAGCAGGCAUACGCCUUGAAUACAUUAGCAUGGAAUAAUAAGAUAGGACCUCGGUUCUAUUUUGUUGGUUUCUAGAGCUGAGGUAAUGAUUAAUAGGGAUAGUUGGGAGCAUUCGUAUUUAACUGUCAGAGGUGAAAUUCUUGGAUUUGUUAAAGACGGACUACUGCGAANGNAUUUGCNAAGGAUGUUUNCAUUG
rnacentral:rRNA from 1 species